UACGGAGGUCUCAAGCGUUGUUCGGAUUCAUUGGGCGUAAAGGGUGCGUAGGCGGCGCGGUAAGUCGGGUGUGAAAUCUCGGAGCUUAACUCCGAAACUGCAUUCGAUACUGCCGUGCUUGAGGACUGGAGAGGAGACUGGAAUUUACGGUGUAGCGGUGAAAUGCGUAGAUAUCGUAAGGAAGACCAGUGGCGAAGGCGGGUCUCUGGACAGUUCCUGACGCUGAGGCACGAAGGUCAGGGGAGCAAACGGG
rnacentral:rRNA from 1 species